rnacentral:rRNA from 1 species
UCUAAGUAUAAACGAUUUAAUCGUGAAACCGCGAAUGGCUCAUUAUAACAGCUAUAAUUUACUUGAUCUUGACACAAUCCUACUUGGAUAACUGUGGUAAUUCUAGAGCUAAUACAUGCAUUAAAGCUCUGACCUCACGGGAAGAGUGCAUUUAUUAGAACAAAACCAAGCGGCUUCGGCUGUUUCUGGUUGACUCAUAGUAACUGAGCUGAUCGCAUGGUCUUGCACCGGCGACGUGUCUUUCAAGUAUCUGCCGUAUCAACUUUCGAUGGUAGUGUAUCUGACUACCAUGGUGAUCACGCGUAACGGAGAAUAAGGGUUCGGCUCCGGAGAGUUCGCCUGAGAAAUCGCGAACACAUCUAAGGAAGGCAGCAGGCGCGAAAAUUACCCACUCUCAGCACGAGGAGGUAGUGACGAAAAAUAACGAGACCGUUCUCUUAUGAGGCCGGUCAUCGGAAUGGGUACAAUUUAAACCCUUUAACGAGUAUCUAUNAGAGGGCAAGUCUGGUGCCAG